rnacentral:sRNA from 1 species
UUGCCCUUCUUUCUCAUCAUUAUUUACUAAGAAAAAGGACGCACUACUUUUUCUCUCUCAAACCUCUCAGCUGAAAAUAUCCACGCCGUAGCAAAGGAAUCAAAGUGAAAUGACGGGUGAAGAAGCGGCAGGUCCCCCUGGCCCCAAAGUCCUCCGUCUCCUCUACUUCGCCGGCGCUGCGUUUAUCUUUAGUAUUGGAAUCAACAAAUGGCGAGAGCUAGAGCGAAAAUCCGUUCAGCAACAACAAGGGAUUCAUCAGCAACCGAAAAUUUUAAGCUCUACCAAUGCUGCAACUAAACCCAUCGAAUAAUUUUUCAGGUUUUUCAUUUUGGAAGAACAAAAUUUGUAGCGAAUAAUGGUCUUUGUGUGGAAUUGUUGAUUUACGAUGAUAAUGUUGUCUAUUCAUUAUAUGAGUUCGUUUCUGUUUUUUUUUUCUUGUUACUAAAUUUGUAUAAUUUGGUCUAAUUUUGUUCUUUGAAUUAUUACUAGUUAUACUAAGCUGGUUUGGGUGAUAGGGAUUUUGGUUCUA